rnacentral:rRNA from 1 species
UACGAAGGGUGCAAACGUUGCUCGGAAUUAUUGGGCGUAAAGCGCACGUAGGCGGCUUGGCAAGUCGGAUGUGAAAUCCCUCGGCUCAACCAAGGAAGUGCAUCCGAAACUGCCGAGCUUGAGUACUUAAGAGGAUCGCGGAAUUCCCGGUGUAGAGGUGAAAUUCGUAGAUAUCAGGAGGAACACCGAUGGCGAAGGCAGAUCUCUGGGCCGCAACUGACGCUGAGGAGCGAAAGCAUGGGGAGCGAACAGG